rnacentral:ncRNA from 1 species
CAUCGCUCAUCACAAUAUGGGAGCUUUCGUGUCCGAAGUUGUUACCUUAACCGCAACGAGAGAGAUGCUGAAGGCAAUAUUAGUGACUAGAGUGAAGUCGGAACAAGAUAGCCAUACCGAAAGGUGCAACUG